rnacentral:misc_RNA from 1 species
UGGUUCUGGCAUCGAUGAAGAACGCAGCGAAAUGCGAUAAGUAAUGUGAAUUGCAGAAUUUUGUGAAUCAUCGAAUCUUUGAACGCACAUUGCACCUUUUGGUAUUCCGGAAGGUAUGCUUGUUCGAGCGUCGUUUAUAAAUUAUAUUGAUUUUUAUUUUUCAAUAAAGAUUGAUGUCUUGGAUUUUUUAUCUUGUAAAAAGAUAAUAUCCCAAAAGAAUUGACAGCGAUCUGGAAAGAUUUAUAUUGAAACGCAUUAAAGUCUUAAAACCACUACGUUACAAAUAAAAUCUCUCUGGAGCAGCCAAAUUAAAAAAAUGUUAUUAUUUUUUAAUAUCGACCUCGAAUCAAGUAAGAUUACCCGCUGA